GACGAACGCUGGCGGCGUGCUUAACACAUGCAAGUCGAACGGAAAGGCCCUGCUUUUGUGGGGUGCUCGAGUGGCGAACGGGUGAGUAACACGUGAGUAACCUGCCCUUGACUUUGGGAUAACUUCAGGAAACUGGGGCUAAUACCGGAUAGGAGCUCCUGCUGCAUGGUGGGGGUUGGAAAGUUUCGGCGGUUGGGGAUGGACUCGCGGCUUAUCAGCUUGUUGGUGGGGUAGUGGCUUACCAAGGCUUUGACGGGUAGCCGGCCUGAGAGGGUGACCGGCCACAUUGGGACUGAGAUACGGCCCAGACCCCUACGGGGGGCAGCAGGGGGGAAUAUUGCACAAUGGGGGGAAGCCUGAUGCGGCAACGCCGCGUGGGGGAUGACGGCCUUCGGGUUGUAAACCGCUUUCGCCUGUGACGAAGCGUGAGUGACGGUAAUGGGUAAAGAAGCACCGGCUAACUACGU
rnacentral:rRNA from 1 species